GUCAGCGUGCCACUGCGUCAAUUGCGUCCUGUAAGGUGGCAGCCCUUUCGGGAUACUUGGUGGCUUUCUGGCCAUCGGUGUUUCCACUGCUCUGGUUUUUGGCCUCGCCGCUGGUGUCCCAUGUGAAGAUGAGGAUGCUGGAGGUUCCAUGACUCCCAUUUUGGAGCUUCUGUGCUGUGCUGGUUUGAUGGUGCUUGCCAGAGCCUGGUGGGAUCAAAUGUUGAUAGAAUUGAGAGCUCUGAGAAAUGAAAACGAAAUUAAGCAUGUUAUGUCAGCUCUGUUCUUCUUCCCUAGUCGCUCCCCUACGAAUUAAGAUGAAAUUCUAGUAUGUAUUCUCGAUUCUACAUCUUUGACUCCAGGAGAAGGAGCCAGCAAUGGUGAUGACACAACCCGUGGGUGUGGUCUUGACUACAAUCUGACAUGCGUAUGUGAACAUGUUAAAACGUCUGCAUCAUUUGUUUAUUGUGUUGGUUACCAACCUAUAUUCGUCUUUAAUUAAAAUAGGAAGAAUAAUAUGGCACUAAUAAGUCAAUUUCCCACUGAAGUCCUCCAAAGCACUGUAAGUCUACUUUUCAGAGUAUUUGGCGCCGUCUUGUGGCAAUAUUAGCUCAUUACAAAAAGACUGAAAAAACCAUAUAUUCCGAUUAAAACGAAUCCGAUUAAAUUUAAGAUGUUGCAUCUCAUUCAGAGCUCGCUGAUGCUGCCAAACUACUCCACACACAGCAGCAUCCCGAUUGAUCCUGCACUGAAAACUAUGAACGUCACUUGGGACGCUCCAUCUCAAAUCUGUUCAGUGGGCACUGGGGCGUCCUUAUUGUCACGUGAUGUCAACUUGCUGCUGACAGUUGUGUCGGGUCGGGGUUCGUUCGUUCGUUCGUUCUUCUUGCGUGCGUGUGUCAGAAGAGCAGCCCUCUCUUCUCGACCCGCCCCUCCCUCCUCGCCUGCUCCGAGCAGGCAAGAAGGUGGCGGCCGGCGGGGGACAGCGGAGGCCGGAGAGGAAAAGAAAAGGGAGGGGGCGAGGGAUUCCAAGGCCACACAACUGCUUCCAAAUAAAUUGUAUUUCAUUCAUAAAAAUAAUAAUACCUA